UACGAAGGGGGCUAGCGUUGCUCGGAAUCACUGGGCGUAAAGGGUGCGUAGGCGGGUCUUUAAGUCAGGGGUGAAAUCCUGGAGCUCAACUCCAGAACUGCCUUUGAUACUGAAGACUCUGAGUCCGGGAGAGGUGAGUGGAACUGCGAGUGUAGAGGUGAAAUUCGUAGAUAUUCGCAAGAACACCAGUGGCGAAGGCGGCUCACUGGCCCGGUACUGACGCUGAGGCGCGACAGCGUGGGGAGCAAACAGG
rnacentral:rRNA from 1 species